rnacentral:rRNA from 1 species
AGAUUGAACGCUGGCGGCAGGCCUAACACAUGCAAGUCGAGCGCGAAAGUUCCUUCGGGAAUGAGUAGAGCGGCGGACGGGUGAGUAACGCGUAGGGAUUUGCCCAGUAGUGGGGGACAACUCGGGGAAACUCGAGCUAAUACCGCAUACGCCCCAAGGGGGAAAGCAGGGGAUCUUCGGACCUUGCGCUAUUGGAUAAGCCUGCGUCGGAUUAGCUAGUUGGUGGGUAAGGCCUACCAAGGCAACGAUCCGUAGCUGGUCUGAGAGGAUGAUCAGCCACACUGGGACUGAGACACGGCCAGACUCCGACGGAGGCAGCAGUGGGAUAUGACAAUGGGGCAACCGUGAUCCAGCCAUGCCGCGUGUCGUAGAAGGAAGGCCGUUAAGGGUUAGAAAGCGUAACUUUACGAGGUGGGUAAGGAAAAG